UACCAGCACCCCGAGUGGUCGGGACGAUUAUUGGGCCUAAAGCAUCCGUAGGCGGUUCUGCAAGUCUCCCGUUAAAUCCAACUGCUCAACAGGUGGGCUGCGGAGGAUACUACAGAGCUAGGAGGCAGGAGAGGCAAGCGGUACUCAGUGGGUAGGGGUAAAAUCCGUUGAUCCAUUGAAGACCACCAGUGGCGAAGGCGGCUUGCCAGAAUGCGCUCGACGGUGAGGGAUGAAAGCUGGGGGAGCAAACCGG
rnacentral:rRNA from 1 species